GUCGGCGUCAUAUCACAUUCGUUGGGAUGUAGGUUAUGUACACAGGAGUUGGGCCGCCAGGAGUCAGGAGUCAGGCCCCCGCACUCGGGGAGGGCUAGGUUGGCGUGGGACAGGCGUUGCGUAGUUCGAGCAUGGCGCUUAGAUCUUGACGCCCUUCUCGUCGGCGAGCUUCUCGUAGCGCUUCUCGUAGAUGCCCUCGGGGUCGAACUUGGCCUUGAGCUCCUG
rnacentral:misc_RNA from 1 species